CGGCGGAGCAUGUGGAUUAAUUCGAUGCAACGCGAAGGACCUUACCUGGGUUCGACAUGCACUAGACGCGUCUAGAGAUAGGCGUUCCCUUGUGGCUGGUGUGCAGGUGGUGCAUGGCUGUCGUCAGCUCGUGUCGUGAGAUGUUGGGUUAAGUCCCGCAACGAGCGCAACCCUCGUUCCAUGUUGCCAGCGGGUUAUGCCGGGGACUCAU
rnacentral:rRNA from 1 species